GAAAAACCUCGGAUGGCAUCAUCUCACCUCACAUCACACUCCUCUUUUCUCUGCUUCUUGCCACGUGGUUUUUCCAGCUCCUCUGGUUCUAUCCAGGCCAGUGCUAGCAAGUGAAGUAAGUCCAUGGAACUUACUUCAGUUUAGACACAGAAACCCUUGCGUGGUGGUGCGUGCCUGCAAUCCCAGUGUUUAGGGGCUGACGCAGUAGAUGAAGACUUCGGGCCAGUUCAAGGCUAGCCUGAACUAUAUAAGGAGACCCUACUUCAAACAAAUCAAAACAAGAUGAGCCCUGAUGAGAUCAUCAGAGAUCUUCAGGAUCCCGAAGAAGUUGGCAUCUCCAAGCAAAGACUAUUGCCAAAGCUGUUCCUCUUGGAGAAAGCCCAGCUGAGAGAGGAUACCAUGCUAGACAGCCUGCCCAGACCCUCCCUCCACACUCUGCUUCCGAGGGAGUAGAGAUGGACAGAAGAUGGGCAAUACACAGGGGAUGAAACCAAAUGACAAAUGGGAGGACCACGUGACCAAGCUAAGUUCAUCCUUAAGGGGCUUGCAUACUUCCAAUGAAGGGACCAACUCCCCAUUUCGGCAGCCAUAACAGCUGAACACGUACUUGCCUGACCUUGUCUUGGUCACUAGGAGGUCAGAUGCCUACCCCUUUCAGCAGCCAUGACAGUAACACAUGCUUGCCCUGACCUUGCCUUGGUCACUAGGAGGUCAGAUGCCUGUCUCCUGGCAAG
rnacentral:lncRNA from 1 species